GACGAACGCUGGCGGCGUGCCUAAUACAUGCAAGUAGAACGCACAGUUUAUACCGUAGCUUGCUACACCAUAAACUGUGAGUUGCGAACGGGUGAGUAACGCGUAGGUAACCUGCCUGGUAGCGGGGGAUAACUAUUGGAAACGAUAGCUAAUACCGCAUAAUAUUGAUUAUUGCAUGAUAAUUGAUUGAAAGAUGCUAUUGCAUCACUACCAGAUGGACCUGCGUUGUAUUAGCUAGUAGGUGAGGUAACGGCUCACCUAGGCGACGAUACAUAGCCGACCUGAGAGGGUGAUCGGCCACACGGGGACUGAGACACGGCCCAGACUCCUACGGGAGGCAGCAGUAGGGAAUCUUCGGCAAUGGACGAAAGUCUGACCGAGCAACGCCGCGUGAGUGAAGAAGGUUUUCGGAUCGUAAAGCUCUGUUGUAAGAGAAGAACGGGUGUGAGAGUGGAAAGUUCACACUGUGACGGUAUCUUACCAGAAAGGGACGGCUAACUACGUG
rnacentral:rRNA from 1 species